GAUCCAGUAGCCUAGUGGCUAGAGUGUCCGCCUCGGAUGCGGUAGGUCCAGGUUUAGAACACCGGCCGAGUCA